AGAUCUAAGAUCCUAUUACAUGAUUAUUACAUAGCAUUAAAUCAAAAAUUAAAAUAUAUAAAUAUAGCAUGAACUACAUAUUGAUCAUAUCAACAUGUUUCUAUACCACAUCUAAUGUAUGUAUUAAAUAAUAGAUCAGAUCUAUUACCUUGCAAGUUAGACGCUCUAACCUCGCUGAUCCGGGCUUAAGGAUGAUGUUGCAAGCCGCACAUACGUCCGGCCUCUAGGAGUCGUCCACAUGAGCCCACAAAUCUCGAUCAGAAGUCCUGCUUCAGGAAAUCAGCACAGUAUGCUAGUACUGCGCUGAUCCUUCUUUGAUGGUUGAUCAGGUGCCUCCUUCUUCUUGAUUUGGACUCUUUCAAAGAUGGAAAGUAAAAGGAGGAGUUUCAGAUCUGAGACACUCUCAGGAAACUCAAGAUGGAGGGAGGAAAGAUAUGAAAACAAAAAACCCUAGAAGAAGACCCUCUUCUUCUU
rnacentral:lncRNA from 1 species